rnacentral:lncRNA from 1 species
AUGUAUUACCCAGCCCUCGUGGUACACUCUGUUCCAGGAAAGCAUGGUAGCAAUGCUCAUCAUCCCAUCCUUGAUGGAAGCACCGAGGGAAAUAUCUCCCAGCAUGAGACCUGCACUGGAAAUACUCACAUAAAGCCAGGUCCUCAAGAAAAUGGAGAGAAGAUUGGACCUUUCAGUGCCUCACACCUGAGCCAGACCCCAGUAAGAGUCACCCAGCAAAAGGAGGUUCCUCACAACUCACCAGCCCCUCAGCUCUGCAGGAGGGAAGCUCAGAAAUUGCUGGAGCUGUUGCUGUGGCUGGAAAUCACCAGGAGAGGAUGAGGUCUCAUGGGCAAGACCAGUGGCAGAACAAAAAACCCAAAGGGCAGAAAUGCCCUGCAAAAUCUUUUUGCUGGUAUUUUGUCUUUGAAGCUCAUCCCUGCAGGUAUUUUGCUAAAGCCAAAUUCACUGGUGUUGUCAUGAGGGUUUUUUCAGCCAUUCCUGCAGCAAACAUUGCUUACCUGGCAUCUGACCUCCUUUCGUACUGGUGAUUCUUAUCUCUGAGUUGAGCAAAGCUCAUGAAAUAUGAUUUCAUCUGCUAGGGAAGCAGGUAAGAAGGAUAAGAAGAGAUAAGAAGGAACUGGUUGGCCAGUGUGAGAUGCAAAGGAGAUUAGAGGACCUUUGCAUCACUCCUGUACAAACAAGGUGGCUGAUGAAGCCUGUGAGAAGCGAUGAUCAAGGCUCACCCCACAAUAUCUGGUGCAUCUGCAUUUUGAUGGGACUGAGUCUCUGGCUUUUUUUUCUUUCGUGUCUGUGUAUGUUUUGAUUAUACACAAAACACCAAAAUAAAAUCAACAAUUUAUACCCCGUUAUCUG